GACGAACGCUGGCGGCGUGCCUAAUACAUGCAAGUCGAGCGAAUCGAUGGGAGCUUGCUCCCUGAGAUUAGCGGCGGACGGGUGAGUAACACGUGGGUAACCUGCCUGUAAGACUGGGAUAACUUCGGGAAACCGGAGCUAAUACCGGAUACUUUCUUUUCUCGCAUGAGGGAAGAUGGAAAGAUGGUUGUGCUAUCACUUACAGAUGGACCCGCGGCGCAUUAGCUAGUUGGUGAGGUAACGGCUCACCAAGGCAACGAUGCGUAGCCGACCUGAGAGGGUGAUCGGCCACACUUGUACUGAAACACGUCCCAGACUCCUACGGGAGGCAGCAGUAGGGAAUCUUCCGCAAUGGACGAAAGUCUGACGGAGCAACGCCGCGUGAGCGAAGAAGGCCUUCGGGUCGUAAAGCUCUGUUGUUAGGGAAGAACAAGUACGAGAGUAACUGCUCGUACCUUGACGGUACCUAACCAGAAAGCCACGGCUAACUACGUGCCAGCCGCCGCGGUAAAAC
rnacentral:rRNA from 1 species